UACAGAGGUCCCAAGCGUUGUUCGGAUUCACUGGGCGUAAAGGGUGCGUAGGUGGUGGGGUAAGUCUGAUGUGAAAUCUCCGAGCUCAACUCGGAAAUGGCAUUGGAAACUACCCCGCUUGAGGGUUGGAGGGGGGACUGGAAUACUUGGUGUAGCAGUGAAAUGCGUAGAUAUCAAGUGGAACACCAGUGGCGAAGGCGAGUCCCUGGACAACUCCUGACACUGAGGCACGAAAGCUAGGGGAGCAAACAGG
rnacentral:rRNA from 1 species